rnacentral:lncRNA from 1 species
CAUUCAGACAGAUCUUUAUUCUGACCAGGAUGCUGCCCUCUGAGGUUGUUGCUUGCCCCUUGUUUCAGUCUCCUGUAAGUUAUCCAGUGAAAAGUAUGUUCCUGCAUCAGAGAUCGAAGGACAUGGCUGCAAAAUCCCACUGCUGUUCCUGCAUGUUACCAUUACAGAGAACAAAGGAGCUCUACAUCUCAAAGUGAAGAACACCCACACAGCUGGUGGCAUGGGCAGAUGCAGCCCUGACUGUCCCUAGAGUGCCUUCGUAUUUACUCUGUGAUGAGGUAAGGUCUUUGCACUGGGUGAUGUGUGGGUCAUGACUGCAUCAUGAUGCCAUUAUGCA